rnacentral:rRNA from 1 species
CCUACGGGAGGCAGCAGUGAGGAAUAUUGGUCAAUGGCCGGAAGGCUGAACCAGCCAAGUCGCGUGAGGGACGACUGCCCUAUGGGUUGUAAACCUCUUUUAUAAGGGAAGAAUAAAUGCUACGUGUAGCAUGAUGCCUGUACCUUAUGAAUAAGCAUCGGCUAACUCCGUGCCAGCAGCCGCGGUAAUACGGAGGAUGCGAGCGUUAUCCGGUUUUAUUGGGUUUAAAGGGUGCGUAGGCGGUUUUUUAAGUUAGUGGUAAAACGUCGGGGCUUCACCUUGAUUUGCCAUUAAUACUGGAAGACUCGAGUUCAGACGAGGUAGGCGGAAUAAGUUAAGUAGCGGUGAAAUGCUUAGAGAUAACUUAGAACUCCGAUAGCGAAGGCAGCUUACCAGACUGCGACUGACGCUGAAGCACGAGAGCGUGGGUAGCGAACAGGAUUAGAUACCCUUGUAGUC